GAUGAACGCUGGCGGCGUGCCUAAUACAUGCAAGUCGAGCGAACAGACGAGGAGCUUGCUCCUCUAACGUUAGCGGCGGACGGGUGAGUAACACGUGGAUAACCUACCUAUAAGACUGGGAUAACUUCGGGAAACCGGAGCUAAUACCGGAUAAUAUAUUGAACCGCAUGGUUCAAUAGUGAAAGACGGUUUUGCUGUCACUUAUAGAUGGAUCCGCGCCGCAUUAGCUAGUUGGUAAGGUAACAGCUUACAAAGGCAACGAUGCGUAGCCGACCUGAGAGGGUGAUCGGCCACACUGGAACUGAGACACGGUCCAGACUCCUACGGGAGGCAGCAGUAGGGAAUCUUCCGCAAUGGGCGAAAGCCUGACGGAGCAACGCCGCGUGAGUGAUGAAGGUCUUCGGAUCGUAAAACUCUGUUAUUAGGGAAGAACAAAUGUGUAAGUAACUAUGCACGUCUUGACGGUACCUAAUCAGAAAGCCACGGCUAACUACGUG
rnacentral:rRNA from 1 species